rnacentral:rRNA from 1 species
UGGGGUAAUGGCUCACCUAGGCGACGAUCCCUAGCUGGUCUGAGAGGAUGACCAGCCACACUGGAACUGAGACACGGUCCAGACUCCUACGGGAGGCAGCAGUGGGGAAUAUUGCACAAUGGGCGCAAGCCUGAUGCAGCCAUGCCGCGUGUGUGAAGAAGGCCUUAGGGUUGUAAAGCACUUUCAGCGAGGAGGAAGGGUUCAGUGUUUUUUUCUUUUUUUCAUUGACGUUACUCGCAGAAGAAGCACCGGCUAACUCCGUGCCAGCAGCCGCGGUAAUACGGAGGGUGCAAGCGUUAAUCGGAAUUACUGGGCGUAAAGCGCACGCAGGCGGUUUGUUAAGUCAGAUGUGAAAUCCCCGCGCUUAACGUGGGAACUGCAUUUGAAACUGGCAAGCUAGAGUCUUGUAGAGGGGGGUAGAAUUCCAGGUGUAGCGGUGAAAUGCGUAGAGAUCUGGAGGAAUACCGGUGGCGAAGGCGGCCCCCUG